CCUACGGGUGGCUGCAGUGAGGAAUAUUGGUCAAUGGACGCAAGUCUGAACCAGCCAAGUAGCGUGAAGGAUGACUGCCCUACGGGUUGUAAACUUCUUUUAUAAAGGAAUAAAGUGAGGCACGUGUGCCUUUUUGUAUGUACUUUAUGAAUAAGGAUCGGCUAACUCCGUGCCAGCAGCCGCGGUAAUACGGAGGAUCCGGGCGUUAUCCGGAUUUAGUGGGUUUAAAGGGAGCGUAGAUGGGUUGUUAAGUCAGUUGUGAAAGUUUGCGGCUCAACCGUAAAAUUGCAAUUGAUACUGGCAGUCUUGAGUACAGAUGAGGUAGGCGGAAUUCGUGGUGUAGCGGUGAAAUGCUUAGAUAUCACGAAGAACUCCGAUUGCGAAGGCAGCUUACUAAACUGCAACUGACAUUGAUGCUCGAAGGUGUGGGUAUCAAACAGGAUUAGAUACCCGUGUAGUC
rnacentral:rRNA from 1 species